rnacentral:rRNA from 1 species
CCUACGGGGGGCAGCAGUCGAGAAUCAUUCACAAUGGGGGAAACCCUGAUGGUGCGACGCCGCGUGGGGGAAUGAAGGUCUUCGGAUUGUAAACCCCUGUCAUGGGGGAGCAAAUUAAAAAGAUAGUACCACAAGAGGAAGAGACGGCCCACUCUGUGCCAGCAGCCGCGGUAAUACACAGGUCUCAAGCGUUGUUCGGAAUCACUGGGCGUAAAGCGUGCGAAGGCUGUUUCGUAAGUCGUGUGUGAAAGGUGCGGGCUCAACCCGCGGCCGGCACAUGAUACUGGGAGACUAGAGUAAUGGAGGGGGAACCGGAAUUCUCGGUGUAGCAGUGAAAUGCGUAGAUAUCGGGAGGAACACUCGAGGCGAAGGCGGGUUCCUGGACAUUAACUGACGCUGAGGCACGAAGGCCAGGGGAGCGAAAGGGAUUAGAUACCCGGGUAGUC